CUGAGCUCAAAGCCAGUCUUAUGGGAAUUUGUGGAACACACUGGUUGUUUUUAGAUGUAUGAGAAAGGCGUUUUUUGUCUCAUUUAGUAGUUUCUUUGCUCUGUCCACAGUGAGAACAAACCAAGGAAUGGAGGCAUCUGUGUGUUCAAUCACAACUGCAAUUGACAUCAUCAUCCUGGCCAAUGACGGCUGCUUUUCUAUGGUUGGCCAGAUACAUGGUGGUCUGCCUGGGGUUGUCCAGAGAGCCAUGGUGAAAUCCAGCCCCCACAUUUGGUUUGAGAUAUCUGAAGUCAAAGACUGACACCUUGUGGCCAAAAGGUUGAGCAACCAGUUGCAGACAACUCAACACCCCAUCCUCAUCUUCCCAGAGCUGCAUCAAGUCCAUAUAGUGUGUCCCCUGAACUCAAAGCUGUGGCCCUGAGAUGUUACCUCCACCUUGGGCAUGGAGAUGGCAACAGGCAGGGGUAGGAUGCAUGCUGACUAUGCACAGUCCUGCAGUCGAUGAUGGGACAGGAUGGCUCCCAAGCUGGCCAAUUCAGAGAGUAGGGCACCAGACCUGAUGCCUCAAUAUCAUGUUUGACCUUUGGGGUUCAAUGUUGUGCUGGUCUUGACCUGACUGAUGCCUGGAUAGCCUUAUCUGAGCUUGUAGACUGUGGUCUGUGCUGUAGACUGGUGCAUGAAGGGUCGCAUGUGGUCCAGAGAAAAGUGGUCCAGACAGCCACUGGGCAACCAAACCCUAGAUUGUUUGGAUUCAUCUUCAAGCCAUGUCAUCUCUCAGUUGAUCAUAAGUUGUUGUUUCCCUUCCUUUUCAAAGGGUUGUCAUUGAUGUCUGUGCUGUAAGUCUUUUUCUUAUCCAGUAACCACGUUUCCAUCCACAGUUUUUAUGCAAGUAAAGUCAUCAUAUACAGU